rnacentral:rRNA from 1 species
AGGCCGGGAACUCAAAGGAGACUGCCAGUGAUAAAGUGGAGGAAGGUGGGGAUGACGUCAAGUCAUCAUGGCCCUUACGACCAGGGCUACACACGUGCUACAAUGGCGCAUACAAAGAGAAGCGACCUCGCGAGAGCAAGCGGACCUCAUAAAGUGCGUCGUAGUCCGGAUUGGAGUCUGCAACUCGACUCCAUGAAGUCGGAAUCGCUAGUAAUCGUGGAUCAGAAUGCCACGGUGAAUACGUUCCCGGGCCUUGUACACACCGCCCGUCACACCAUGGGAGUGGGUUGCAAAAGAAGUAGGUAGCUUAACCUUCGGGAGGGCGCUUACCACUUUGUGAUUCAUGACUGGGGUGAAGUCGUAACAAGGUAACCGUAGGGGAACCUGCGGUUGGAUCACCUCCUUACCUUAAAGAA